AAAUAACAGAAGGAACAGUGUGUAAGGGCAUAAUUCACACUGAGCACCUGACUGAGCUGUAGUUGGCUGUCCAACUCACUGGCUUGUCCUGCAGUGGUGGGGCUGGGGAGUGAACCCCCCUGCCUGGGGGAGACAAGCAAUGGCUGAGACUGAAAAUCUCCUUUCUGCUCAGCAGGUGCUGUGGCUGCCCUACUGUAGAUGAGGCCACCUCUGAAGUGCGGUGGGAUAAGUUGAUCUACGGGCAGCUUGCAACCAGGCCGCUACAGCUGCAGCAACACAUGCUCAGAUUUGGAUGUGACCAGAAUUUUCUGCCACAAACUGCAUGAGGUCCUGCGUUUUCCCAGAAGCCAUGCAGACUUUUGUUUUCUGGUGUUGGGCUAGAAUCUUCUCAUCCAGUUCAUAAAUGAGUGCUUGCAAUUUCAUGCUCACUCUCUGUCCUAAGUACCCAAGCAUUGCACCCCACGUGUUGGUGCUUGUGUGCAGCAUACAAAACCUGCUCUCUGGCUGUGCAAUUUCUCCUGGUUGAGGAAGAGGAGAGGCUUGUCCCAACAGAUCCAUCAUCUGCUUCCUGAAUUGCUCUGCAAGGAACCAGCUUUCCUUCCAAGCUCAAAGCAAUGAUUCACCGUCAGCACACGGUCCAGCAGCAGCUGGUAUGCAUGUAACUGAGGCUCCCUUACUAUCAGGAUGCACGUCCUCUCUCUUGUCUUAGGGAGAUCUCAACUGAACCGACUCCUCACCUAAUGCUUCAGCAAUGCCUAACGUGGGAGUGACUAGGCACACCCAAUUGCAACUGCCCCCAUUUCAAACAGCUGGCUUGCAGGGCAUCUAAGAAUUAGUUUUCACUUUGCAUUAGGUGUCUUCAGCCCGUUGAAGCAGAACCUUAACUUACUGUAUUCAACGGCUUUUGGACGAUCCCCUUUUGCUUUCUGCAGAAAAUUAAAAAGAAGGACAAAAUUUUGUUUUAAGGUCCCUGAUUUUGUUUUUCUGCCAAAGCAAAUGAAGGGUCUUUGUUAAAAUUGGUUUUCAGCUGCUCUCAGAGAAUACCCAAGCUAUUCAGGAGGAUUGUACAGCUGAAAUUAUCUGCGACUUUUAGGUUGUGUAUGGAUCAUUUGCCUUGGGAAAGUCCACUAUGAAAUAACAGCCUGCUUUGAUGGGGUUAUCAUUAUCAGAGCAGAGGUGCCCUGUUUCUGCUAUGAAAUGGUCAGGUGAGUGAGAAGCAAACAUCUCAUAAUGCCAUCUGAGGGUGAAUCUCCAACAAAUCUCAGUCUCCCCGCUUAGCAUUUCGGUGUGAAGGUCACCCUCAGGCAGCUUUCCCAUAGGCCACCAUGAGGUCUCCCCAGAGCCUUACCCUCUCCAGGCAGAACACCCUCAGCUCCCUCAGCCUUUAGAGCAGAGGUGCUCACCCCCAUGGCCUCCUCAGGACCUUCACCUAUAACGUAACAGGCAGUGAUGGGAGAGUGAGGGGAUGCUCUGCUCCUGGAGUCGUUGGGUUGGCCAUGGGGUGACCACCACACCUGCUCUGGUGGGGAAGCUGCCCUGCUGCCAUCCCCUCUGAGUGCCCCUGCCCUGGCAAAUUUGGCCCCAGGGGCUCCUGGGGACACAUAGCAACAAAUCCCAGGCUCUGUGGUGGCACUGUGAGCUGAGGGCUGAUGAUGUCAUGGCUACUCUCACUUCCAGGGCUGGGUCCACAUAGGCCACGCUGCUCUGCUCCAUUUCUGCCUUGGGUCCCAUAGCUUCAUCCCCACCAUCCUGCAGGUGGGUGGCAGACCCUGUAGCAGGAAGGCAGGCCUCCGGGCUGCUCCUUAACAGAGGCAAUCACAUUUUCACUCUUGGAUGACAGUGUUUCACUGUGCAGCUCCAGUGCUGUCAUUACAUUUUGCUGAGUGCUGUCUUUAUGCUGCUCUCCCGAGUUACUGCCCAAACAGCCCUCGGCCAUAUACAUCAUCUCCCCAUCUUAUUACACGGUUAUCAUCUUGUUGGAUAUAAAUAUACUUUUCCAGAGCCUGCUACGGUUCCACCAAGAAAUGAAUGCAUUUACAAAAUAAAAUACUUUGCAGGC
rnacentral:lncRNA from 7 species